rnacentral:lncRNA from 1 species
UCAAUGUUACCGUUAUGUUCACUGUGUUGGUUUGUUUUUCUUUGGGUUUUUGCUCGGUUUUUCUUUUCCAUUCUUAUUUUUCAACCGAGUGCCCUUCUUUGGCUCGUGCUUCUUUUGAACCCUCGAGUUUAUUUCUAUUUUUUUUUCUUUUUCUCUCGAUGAUUUUGUCUUUUUUUUGUCUUUUUUUUUCGCACGUACCUGGGCUUUUGGAACUCAUGGGGUUUU